GCUCCCGUGGCUUAGUCGGUAAAACAUCCGACUAUGUUGCGGUGGGAUUCGGGUUCGAGUCCUGGUGAAGGCA